UACGUAGGGCGCAAGCGUUGUCCGGAAUUAUUGGGCGUAAAGAGCUUGUAGGCGGUUUGUCGCGUCUGCUGUGAAAAUCCGGGGCUCAACCCCGGACUUGCAGUGGGUACGGGCAGACUAGAGUGUGGUAGGGGAGACUGGAAUUCCUGGUGUAGCGGUGAAAUGCGCAGAUAUCAGGAGGAACACCGAUGGCGAAGGCAGGUCUCUGGGCCACUACUGACGCUGAGAAGCGAAAGCAUGGGGAGCGAACAGGAUUAGAUA
rnacentral:rRNA from 1 species